UACAGAGGUCUCAAGCGUUGUUCGGAUUCAUUGGGCGAAACGGGUGCGUAGGCGGCGCGGUAAGUCGGGUGUGAAAUCUCGGAGCUUAACUCCGAAACUGCAUUCGAUACUGCCGUGCUUGAGGACUGGAGAGGAGACUGGAAUUUACGGUGUAGCGGUGAAAUGCGUAGAUAUCGGAAGGAAGACCAGUGGCGAAGGCGGGUCUCUGGACAGUUCCUGACGCUGAGGCACGAAGGCCAGGGGAGCAAACGGG
rnacentral:rRNA from 1 species